GACCUGCUCUGCGUACUUGGUGCCAUGGUUUGGGGUGAGACAGCCUCUCUCAAGGAGAGGAACCUUUGUCUGGUCGUCCUCUUGCCAGCCUGGGAUAAGGCUCAGCCCUGCCCAUCUGCACAGCAUUCUCUGAAUGCCCAGAGCCAGUCACAGCAUUUCUAGUGUUGCAAGUCUCUGUUGUCAUUGUGUCCCUGCCCAGGAGCCUCUGAAUGCUUGCUUCUUGACUUCGUGCUUCCAGCAUUGGCCCAGCCUGGCAGUGGUUGGGGCUAUCAUUGCUUGCAGCGUGCUCCAGGUGGUUCUCUGCCUGGCCCUCCAGCUGGGACAUGCUCGCCCUGCUCCAGUCUCUAGGCAAAGGUGUGCUGUGUGCAGCAGCUAUCUCAGCUUGGUGGCUCAUCCCCAGUUCACGCCCUGUGUUUGGUGCUCUGCUGGCUUGGGGAAUGUGAGGAGAACCUUGGUCUGUCUCUUCCCUUGUGUGGCUGUGUCUGAGCUCCAAGGAUUUCAUCAGCCCCGUACUGCAGGUGCCAUUUUUCCCCUUCCUGCUUGCAGAUGAGUCUUGUCCUUGUCAUGCCUGGUGGGUGACUGUCUUGUGAAGGUGCUGGGGACAGCCCUGCUGCCCCAGAAGAGGCUCUGGGCAUCCCAGACUGGAUCCUGGUAGAGACCUACUUUUCUGUUUGUUUGUUUGCUUGCUUGCAAGGAGGAGGAAGAGGAGGAGGAAGAUGAAAACCUCGAUGAAACUUUAUCUGGCAGGUGCUUGCUUGGAGAUGAUGGGUGCUCUGUUCUCUUCCAAAGCUGCAUGGAGGAGCUGGGGAAGGGAGCCCAUGGACCAACAGAGUUGGCACCUCCUGUGCCCAGAACGAGCUCAUCUACUGCACAGCUGCCGCUGAGCUGGCCCCGCCUGGGGCAGCCCCCAGGCAGCCGGAAGGAGCCGGGAGGAGCUGGAGACCCCCCCGCAGCUGGCCCUGGGGCUGAUCACCCCAAGAAUCCCCUGAGCUAAGCCACGUCUCUGCAGCAACGGAGCAGCCACUCAGGAUUCACCCUGUGCCUGCACCCAGGCCGGUCAGUGCCUGCCCUGCCCCCAGGCAGGGGCUGUCAGCACUGCUGCCGUGCAGCGCAUGGACUUUGAUGCCCACUCCUUGUUCUGCUGCCCACCUGCAUGAACCGCCUCAAACUGCAGUUGCUCCCUGCUCCCCUUUAAGGCUGUUGGACUGGUGUUCAUUGAUCUGCCUGCUCCUGGUACAGGCAUAGCCACCCCAAAUGCCCUGAGCCUGCAGGAUGUAGGCGGUGCACCCGGGGUUGUGCUGAUCUAACUUUGCUUCUUGUAGUGGCAGCAGGGAGCAGGUGAGGCAGAGCAGCCCGCUGGGCACGGGGCUUGCUCAGCAAAUUGAAGGUGCAUAUGACCCUUGGGAAGCCAUAGCUCUUGGCCUGGAGGGGCCUUGCCCCUGCAGUUCAGCCCUGCACUUUCCCACAAGUGAAGCGAGCUGUUUUUUGAAAGGAAAGCUCUGCAUUUGUAGGG
rnacentral:lncRNA from 1 species